AUUCCAGCUCCAAUAGCGUAUAUUAAAGUUGUUGCAGUUAAAACGCUCGUAGUCGGAUUUCGGGGCGGGCCGACCGGUCUGCCGAUGGGUAUGCACUGGCCGGCGCGUCCUUCCACCCGGAGACCGCGCCUACUCUUAACUGAGCGGGCGCGGGAGACGGGUCUUUUACUUUGAAAAAAUCAGAGUGUUUCAAGCAGGCAGUCGCUCUUGCAUGGAUUAGCAUGGGAUAAUGAAAUAGGACUCUGGUGCUAUUUUGUUGGUUUGCAUACCAAAGUAAUGAUUAAGAGGGACAGUUGGGGGUAUUCGUAUUUAAUUGUCAGAGGUGAAAUUCUUGGAUUUAUGAAAGACGGACUACUGCGAAAGCAUUUACCAAGGAUGGUUUCAUCG
rnacentral:rRNA from 1 species